GGCGCUGAUUGUCCAAACGCAAUUCUUGUGUCUGAAUCUGUGAAAUCAGGAGUUGUGGAUGGACAUCACGCUCC
rnacentral:pre_miRNA from 1 species